rnacentral:rRNA from 1 species
CACGUAGGGGGCGAGCGUUGUCCGGAAUUACUGGGCGUAAAGGGCGCGCAGGCUGUUAUGCGAGUCUGCUGUGAAAUGUACCGGCUCAACCGGUGCCUUGCGGCGGAUACUGCAUAGCUGGAGUACUGGAGAGGGAAGUGGAAUUCCCGGUGUAGCGGUGAAAUGCAUAGAUAUCGGGAGGAACACCGGUGGCGAAGGCGGCUUUCUGGCCAGUUACUGACGCUCAUGCGCGAAAGCUGGGGUAGCGAACCGGAUUAGAUA